ACGGCUACCACAUCCAAGGAAGGCAGCAGGCACGCAAAUUACCCACUCUCCGCACGAGGAGGUAGUGACGAGAAAUAAUGAUAUGAACCUUAAUGGUUUGUAAUCAGAAUGGAAAGGAUGCAAAAGCUCCUUUGAUGAACGAGUAGAGGGCAAGUCUGGUGCCAGCAGCCGCGGUAAUACCAGCCUCUACAAGCGUAUGCAAAAGUUGCUGCGUUUAAAAAGCUCAUAGUUGGAUCUGUUUGGGCGUAACGAUAACAUGGUGUUCAGUUAAAUCGGUUCACUCGUUAUUCCCAUCCUCCGCAUCGAAGAAACUGGUUGGCCUUAAAUGGCACGACCAGUGGACACGGCGUUUAUACUCUGAAUAAAUUAGAGUGUUCAAAGCAUCCUUUGGGAUUGAAUAAUAAAGCAUGGAAUAAAGGAGAAUGACCCGCGUAUAGUUUGAUGCCGGUGGCUUAUAUGCGGUAAUGAUUGAAAGGAACAGCCGGGGGCAUUUGUAUUGCUACGUUAGAGGUGAAAUUCUUGGAUCGUGGCAAGACAAACUACUGCGAAAGCAUUUGCCAAGAAUGUUUUCAUUAAUCAAGAACGAAAGUCAGAGUAUUGAAGAGGAUUAGAUACCCUCGUAAUUCUGACCAUAAACUAUACCAACUUACGAUUUGUCAAAGUCCAAUAUGACUUGACAAGAAAUUAACCGGGAAGCCAAAGUUUAUUGGUUCCGGGGGAAGUAUGGUUGCAAAAUUGAAACUUAAAGGAAUUGACGGAAGGGCACCACCAGGAGUGGAGCCUGCGGCUUAAUUUGACUCA
rnacentral:rRNA from 1 species